UGGGGAAUUUUGGACAAUGGGCGAAAGCCUGAUCCAGCCAUGCCGCGUGCAGGAUGAAGGCCUUCGGGUUGUAAACUGCUUUUGUACGGAACGAAAAGACUCCUUCUAAUAAAGGGGGUCCAUGACGGUACCGUAAGAAUAAGCACCGGCUAACUACGUG
rnacentral:rRNA from 1 species